CCCACUGAAUUGUAUGCUUUAAAAGGGUGAUUUUUAUGGUAUGUGAAUUGUAUCACAAUUUUUCAAAACACAGAAAAAAUAGUGAUAAUGCUAAAUGCUAGCAAGGAUACAGAGAAACUGACUUUCUCAUACAUUGCUGGUGGGAAUGUAAAAUGGUAUAGGUACUCUGGAAAAGCAUUUGGCAAUGUUUUACAAAACAAAAUAUGCACUUACCAUAUAAUCCAGCAGUCACACUCUUUUAUCCCAGAGAAAUGAAAACUUAUAGUCAUACAAAAAUCUAUAUGUGGAUGUUCAUAGCAGCUUUAUUCAUAAUAUAACAAAAUACUACAAACCACCCAAAUGUUCUUCAACGGAUGAAUGGUUGAACAAACUUACAUCCAUACAAUGUAAUACUACUUGGUAAUAAAAAGAAAUGAACUGUUGAUACAGGCAGCCACCUGUAUAGACCUCAAGGGCAUUAUGCUCAGUGAAAAAUGGUACUGCUAAAAAGUUACAUACAGUGUGAUUCCAUUUAUAAGGCAUUCUCAAAACGAUAAGAUGAGAUGGAGACAUUAGUGGUUGCUAGGGGACAGGGAUGAGAAUGGUGGGGUGGGGGAAGGUGAGAGGUGGGUGCAAAUACCAAGAGUUUGUUCAUGGAAUCACUCUGUAUCUUGAUUGUGGUGGUGGUAGCAUGAAUCUAUAUAUGAAAUAAAAUUGCAUAGAACUAUAGACACACACAUACCAACAGUGCCUGAAAUUUUUUUAAAUGGUGAAAAAUCAAAUAAGUAUAGUUAACAGCAAGUUACCAACAUCAAUUUCCUGGUGUUGAUGUUGUGCAGUUAUGUAAGAUGUCACCAAAGGGGGGAGGGUACAUGGGACUCUGUGCUAUCUGUGCAACUUCCUGUGAGUCUGUAAUUAUUUCAAAACAAAAAGCUAAAAGAAAAACACAAUUACAAGGUCAUCCCCAGGAAUAAAUACUAAAUUUGAGUGUGCAAAGUCCAGAUAAACACACACAUAUAUGAAAUUCUUUUACGAGGAAUUUUUUUAAUGUGCUAUUUCAGAUCAGAGAGGGAAAUAUAUACCUCAGCAAGUGGUAUUAGAAUAACUGACUAGUCUAUGGUAAAAUAAUAUGAAAUUAAACUGUGUUGUUUUUUAUUUCCUUCACCAAAAUAAACUGUAGAAUAUAAAUUCCAAAGUAGGUACUCAAUAAAUGUUGAGUCACUGGAUCAGUGGGCAUAGAGUUUAUUUGUUGUUGAGGAAUUGUAGCUAAUACAGAAAGCAGAAGACAAUAGGUGUUGACCACUCUGACAUUCUCUUUUCUGGGAGCUUCCAUGUCUAGGGACAGCCAUCUCCCCAGAGGCCUCCUGAAAAGCUCCAGGGCAGAAACAACACAUCCCCUUGUGUAUGUAGGAUAACCAGGAGAGAGAGGUUGCUUUGCGGGGAAUCUUGGAGUGUUCUUAGAGACAGGCUAUUCUACUCAUAGAGAUGUACUGAGGAUUCACUGAGAUCAUGCAUAUAAAGGGCUUAAUACACUGCCUGGCACAUAGUAAAUACUCCGUGAUUGCUAGCUCCUGGAGAGCCUUGUCUGCAAGGCAAAGGAGUUUCAACAAGAAAGAGUUUGAAAGAGCACUAUUAGCAUGAACAAAUAAAUAAGCGGGCAAACUUUUAUGGAAAAACAAAACUCUACUUGAGAAUGUUGAAGACAAUGUCAUGGGACUAGGUCUUGAAGGUGAAGUCUUUCUAAUCCGAAGGCAUAGCAAGAGCAAAAAUGUGGGAGCUGUGAGAGGGCUGUGGGUAUAUUCAGGGAAUGACAUCACAUUUAGCCUUUCAUUCCCGCUAGCCCACUGCUGUCCAGGUCCAUCUCAAACCAGAUUUGCUGACGUAGCCUUCCAAGUUGUGUCUCUGCCCGGAGUUUUUCAUCUCUCCAGUUCUUUCAAGAUAUGGGAGGACUGGGACACCCGUCAGAGCUCAGGAUUACACAUCACUCCAGCAGAAUCCUAAGCUAGAAAAGAAGGCUUAGGGGACAUGGGUUUGAGCCCUAGUCCGGGAAGAUCCCACAUCCCGCGGAGCA